GUCACUUUUUCUUCCUUUCACUGCCUGCGGUUCGUUCCUCAAGCUGCCGUCCUGUUUAGUGGUAAUCUAAGUGUUGUGUGUGAAUGACAGAGGCACUACUGCAAUCGUGACACUUUUUCUGUUACAAACUGACCCCGGCCCCUCAUCAGAGAAGAGAAAAGUUAUGUGCCCCCCACAGGAAAAAGUUUGGGGACCCCUGCUCUACAUCAAAUUGGUGUGAAUGGCUGUCACCCCAGGAGGAAGCCUCUUCUGAAGACAGUACACAAGAAAGCCCGUCCCUCUCAUCAGACCAUAGGACAUGGCUCUGUCAGGCCCAGGGCCAGGCAAGUGUCUGUCAUUCAAUUAGGAUCAGCACCUGACGGGCGGAGCGACGGCAGCUGCCUGCAAACAUAAUCAACAGCCUACAUAAGCCAGCCAGAGCUCCACCACAUCGCUGGAUCGUCUCUUUCAGUUCACUGAUCUUGCCUAUGCCUCUCGUUAUUGGUACCUUUGCCCGGAAUCUUCAUGCCAGACUCCACAGCCCUGUGAACAAUAACCUGCUACUACAAUAAACUCAGAUCCUCGUUAUCUCUCGUGCCUUUUUUGAGGGUUCUCAGCCCACGAUCAUAACAGGUUCCCGUAA